AGGGCCAUGGCGGGUGCUAUACAUGCAGUCGACGAACUUCCGUUAAUUGAUUAUGACGUACUUGUACUGAUUGAGAUUUUAACACGAAGUGAGUGGCGAACGGGUGAGUAACACGUGGGUAACCUGCCCAGAAGUAGGGGAUAACACCUGGAAACAGAUGCUAAUACCGUAUAACAGAGAAAACCGCAUGGUUUUCUUUUAAAAGAUGGCUCUGCUAUCACUUCUGGAUGGACCCGCGGCGUAUUAGCUAGUUGGUGAGGUAAAGGCUCACCAAGGCAGUGAUACGUAGCCGACCUGAGAGGGUAAACGGCCACAUUGGGACUGAGACACAGCCCACACUCCUACGGGAGGCAGCAGUAGGGAAUCUUCCCAAUGGACGCCCAUCCAGAUGGGGAC
rnacentral:rRNA from 1 species